AUUGAACGCUGGCGGAAUGCUUUACACAUACAAGUCGAACGGCAGCACGGACUUCGGUCUGGUGGCGAGUGGCGAACGGGUGAGUAAUGUAUCGGAACGUGCCCAGUCGUGGGGGAUAACGUAGUGAAAAUUACGCUAAUACCGCAUACGAUCAAGGGAUGAAAGCGGGGGAUCGCAAGGCCUCGCGCGAUUGGAGCGGCCGAGAGCAGAUUAGGUAGUUGGUGGGGUAAAGGCCCACCAAGCCCACGAUCUGUAGCUGGUCUGAGAGGACGACCAGCCACACUGGAACUGAGACACGGUCCAGACUCCUACGGGAGGCAGCAGUGGGGAAUGUUGGACAAUGGGCGAAAGCCUGAGCCAGCCAUUCCGCGUGCAGGAUGAAGGUCUUCGGGUUGUAAACUGCUUUUGUACGGAACGAAAAGGUUUCUACUAAUACUCGGGGCUCAUGACGGUACUGUAAGAAUAAGCACCGGCUAACUACGUGCCAGCCGCCGCCGUAA
rnacentral:rRNA from 1 species